rnacentral:tRNA from 1 species
UGGGAUGUAGCUCAGUGCGACAGCACUUGCCUUUGCAUGCAAGAGGCCCUGGGUUCAAUCUCUAACAUCGCAA